rnacentral:rRNA from 1 species
GUAGAGUUUGAUCCUGGCUCAGAUUGAACGCUGGCGGCAUGCCUUACACAUGCAAGUCGAACGGUAACAGGUUAAGCUGACGAGUGGCGAACGGGUGAGUAAUAUAUCGGAACGUGCCCAGUCGUGGGGGAUAACUACUCGAAAGAGUGGCUAAUACCGCAUACGACCUGAGGGUGAAAGCGGGGGAUCGCAAGACCUCGCACGAUUGGAGCGGCCGAUAUCAGAUUAGCUAGUUGGCGGGGUAAAAGCCCACCAAGGCGACGAUCUGUAGCUGGUCUGAGAGGACGACCAGCCACGCUGGGACUGAGACACGGCCCAGACUCCUACGGGAGGCAGCAGUGGGGAAUUUUGGACAAUGGACGCAAGUCUGAUCCAGCCAUGCCGCGUGUGGGAAGAAGGCCUUCGGGUUGUAAACCACUUUUGUCAGGGAAGAAACGGCUCACUCUAAUACAGAGGGCUAAUGACGGUACCUGAAGAAUAAGCACCGGCUAACUACGUGCCAGCAGCCGCGGUAAUUCCAGCUCCAAUAGCGUAUAUUAAAGUUGUUGUGGUUUAAAAGCUCGUAGUUGAACCUUGGGCCUGGCUGGCCGGUCCGCCUCACCGCGUGUACUGGUCCGGCCGGGCCUUUCCCUCUGUGGAACCCCAUGCCCUUCACUGGGUGUGGCGGGGAAACAGGACUUUUACUUUGAAAAAAAUUAGAGUGCUCCAGGCAGGCCUAUGCUCGAAUACAUUAGCAUGGAAUAAUAGAAUAGGACGUGUGGUUCUAUUUUGUUGGUUUCUAGGACCGCCGUAAUGAUUAAUAGGGACAGUCGGGGGCAUCAGUAUUCAAUUGUCAGAGGUGAAAUUCUUGGAUUUAUUGAAGACUAACUACUGCGAAAGCAUUUGCCAAGGAUGUUUUCAUUAAUCAGGAACGAAAGUUAGGGGAUCGAAGACGAUCAGAUACCGUCGUAGUCUUAACCAUAAACUAUGCCGACUAGGGAUCGGACGAUGUUAUUUUUUGACUCGUUCGGCACCUUACGAGAAAUCAAAGUGCUUGGGCUCCAGGGGGAGUAUGGUCGCAAGGCUGAAACUUAAAGAAAUUGACGGAAGGGCACCACCAGGGGUGGAGCCUGCGGCUUAAUUUGACCCAACACGGGGAAACUCACCAGGUCCAGACACAAUGAGGAUUGACAGAUUGAGAGCUCUUUCUUGAUUUUGUGGGUGGUGGUGCAUGGCCGUUCUUAGUUGGUGGAGUGAUUUGUCUGCUUAAUUGCGAUAACGAACGAGACCUUAACCUGCUAAAUAGCCCGUAUUGCUUUGGCAGUACGCUGGCUUCUUAGAGGGACUAUCGGCUCAAGCCGAUGGA